rnacentral:rRNA from 1 species
AACGAACGCUGGCGGCAUGCCUAACACAUGCAAGUCGAACGGGAUCCAGGCUUCGGCCUGGUGAGAGUGGCGGACGGGUGAGUAACACGUGGGAACCUGCCUUUUGGUUCGGGAUAACCGCGGGAAACUGCGGCUAAUACCGGAUGCUCCCGAGAGGGGAAAGAUUUAUCGCCAGAAGAGGGGCCCGCGUCCGAUUAGGUAGUUGGUGAGGUAAUGGCUCACCAAGCCGACGAUCGGUAGCUGGGUCUGAGAGGAUGAUCAGCCACACUGGGACUGAGAUACGGCCCAGACUCCUACGGGAGGCAGCAGUGGGAAUAUUGGACAAUGGGGCAACCCUGAUCCAGCAAUGCCGCGUGAGUGAUGAAGGCCUUAGGGUUGUAAAGCUCUUUUGCCAGGGAAGAUGAUGACUGUACCUGGAGAAUAAGCCCCGGCUAACUUCGUGCCAGCAGCCGCGGUAAU